CAUUAAUGAGAACUUGCCCUAGCGGGUAGAUCUCCCACCCUUUGUUUAUUAUACCUUUGUUGCUUUGCCAGGCCCGUCUCUCGGGGCCGCCGGCUCCGGCUGGCCAGCGCCUGGCAGAGACUCCAAACUCUUUUGUAUUUGUCGUCAGAGUACUAUAUAAUAGUUAAAACUUUCAACAACGGAUCUCUUGGUUCUGGCAUCGAUGAAGAACGCAGCGAAAUGCGAUAAGUAAUGUGAAUUGCAGAAUUCAGUGAAUCAUCGAAUCUUUGAACGCACAUUGCGCCCUCUGGUAUUCCGGGGGGCAUGCCUGUUCGAGCGUCAUUACAACCCUCAAGCCCAGCUUGGUGUUGGGAGCCACCCCAGCGGUGCUCCUCAAAGGCAGUGGCGGCGCCUCUCGGCUCUAAGCGUAGUAAUUCAUUCUCGCUCUGGGGACCUAGAGGUGGCUUGCCAGCAAUCCCAAAUCUAUCAAGGUUGACCUCGGAUCAGGUAGGGAUACCCGCCGAACUUAAGCAUAUCAAUAAGCGGAGGAAAAGAAACCAACAGGGAUUACCUCAGUAACGGCGAGUGAAGCGGUAACAGCUCAAAUUUGAAAUCUGGCCUCACGGUCCGAGUUGUAAUUUGUAGAGGAUGCUUCGGGCGUGGUCCGGUCUAAGUUCCUUGGAACAGGACGUCAUAGAGGGUGAGAAUCCCGUAUGUGACCGGGUGCCGCUGUCCAUGUGAAGCUCCUUCGACGAGUCGAGUUGUUUGGGAAUGCAGCUCAAAAUGGGUGGUAAAUUUCAUCUAAAGCUAAAUAUUGGCCAGAGACCGAUAGCGCACAAGUAGAGUGAUCGAAAGAUGAAAAGCACUUUGGAAAGAGAGUUAAACAGUACGUGAAAUUGUUGAAAGGGAAGCGCUUGCAACCAGACUUGCACGCGGUCGAUCAUCCUGCCUUCUGGCUGGUGCACUCGAUCGCGUUCAGGCCAGCAUCGGUUUUGGUGGUUGGAUAAAGGCUCUGGGA
rnacentral:rRNA from 1 species